CUAUUAUUUUGUACGUUAUGAACUGUACAGGUUUAUGUGAUUGUCUAGUCCUAGCUUUGUCACUACUUCAUCGGGAUAAGCCGGGCACUUACCAGCACAUGGGGUCGGUUGUGCUGAUUCUACACUCUGCGCUCUUUUGCGCAGUUUCAGGUUUUGGACAGCAGCAGCAGUAGUGCGGGUGUUAGGUUUUGAUCAUCGAGACACCGAGGUAGCCUUGCAGGCGUCCGCAGGACCCGACG
rnacentral:lncRNA from 1 species